AGCAGCCGCGGUAAUUCCAGCUCCAAUAGCGUAUAUUAAAGUUGUUGCAGUUAAAAAGCUCGUAGUUGAAUUUCGGGAUUAGUACGCUGGUCGUGCCUUCGGUACGUACUGGUGUUACUGAUUCCUACCUUCUGACGAACCGUCAUGUCAUUAAUUUGAUGUGGCGGGGAAUCAGGACUGUUACUUUGAAAAAUUAGAGUGUUUAAAGCAGGCUCGCGCUUGAAUACAUUAGCAUGGAAUAAUGAAAUAGGACGUUCGAUCCUAUUUUGUUGGUUUCUAGGAUUGACGUAAUGAUUAAUAGGGAUAGUUGGGGGCAUUAGUAUUCAAUUGUCAGAGGUGAAAUUCUUGGAUUUAUUGAAGACUAACUACUGCGAAAGCAUUUGCCAAGGAUGUUUUCAUUAAUCAAGAACGAAAGUUAGGGGAUCGAAGACGAUCAGAUACCGUCGUAGU
rnacentral:rRNA from 1 species